rnacentral:rRNA from 1 species
UUAAGCGACUAAGCGUACACGGUGGAUGCCCUGGCAGUCAGAGGCGAUGAAGGACGUGCUAAUCUGCGAUAAGCGCCGGUAAGGUGAUAUGAACCGUUAUAACCGGCGAUUUCCGAAUGGGGAAACCCAGUGUGAUUCGUCACACUAUCAUUAACUGAAUCCAUAGGUUAAUGAGGCGAACCGGGGGAACUGAAACAUCUAAGUACCCCGAGGAAAAGAAAUCAACCGAGAUUCCCCCAGUAGCGGCGAGCGAACGGGGAGGAGCCCAGAGCCUGAAUCAGCAUGUGUGUUAGUGGAAGCGUCUGGAAAGGCGCGCGAUACAGGGUGACAGCCCCGUACACAAAAGCGCAUGUGCUGUGAGCUCGAUGAGUAGGGCGGGACACGUGGUAUCCUGUCUGAAUAUGGGGGGACCAUCCUCCAAGGCUAAAUACUCCUGACUGACCGAUAGUGAACCAGUACCGUGAGGGAAAGGCGAAAAGAACCCCGGCGAGGGGAGUGAAAAAGAACCUGAAACCGUGUACGUACAAGCAGUGGGAGCCCCACCACCAAAGCAUUCUCUGGUGUUGAAGGCCCUGCAAAGCAGCAUCGCGGUGGCGGAGCGUCGUUUGCGACGCCCAACACACAAAACAAGCGGUGAGUGCUUUGGGGUGGGGUGACUGCGUACCUUUUGUAUAAUGGGUCAGCGACUUAUAUUCUGUAGCAAGGUUAACCGAAUAGGGGAGCCGGAGGGAAACCGAGUCUUAAUUGGGCGUUAAGUUGCAGGGUAUAGACCCGAAACCCGGUGAUCUAGCCAUGGGCAGGUUGAAGGUUGGGUAACACUAACUGGAGGACCGAACCGACUAAUGUUGAAAAAUUAGCGGAUGACCUGUGGCUGGGGGUGAAAGGCCAAUCAAACCGGGAGAUAGCUGGUUCUCCCCGAAAGCUAUUUAGGUAGCGCCUCGUGAAUUCAUCUCCGGGGGUAGAGCACUGUUUCGGCUAGGGGGCCAUCCCGGCUUACCAACCCGAUGCAAACUGCGAAUACCGGAGAAUGUUAUCACGGGAGACACACGGCGGGUGCUAACGUCCGUCGUGAAGAGGGAAACAACCCAGACCGCCAGCUAAGGUCCCAAAGUCAUGGUUAAGUGGGAAACGAUGUGGGAAGGCCCAGACAGCCAGGAUGUUGGCUUAGAAGCAGCCAUCAUUUAAAGAAAGCGUAAUAGCUCACUGGUCGAGUCGGCCUGCGCGGAAGAUGUAACGGGGCUAAACCAUGCACCGAAGCUGCGGCAGCGAACGUAUCACUUAAAGCGAUUCAGCGGGUUACGAUUGACGGAGCGAAGCGACGUCAAAGCGUAUACAAAGUCGAGUCGGUUUAAGGAUACGUUCGUUGGGUAGGGGAGCGUUCUGUAAGCCUGUGAAGGUGUGUCGUGAGGCAUGCUGGAGGUAUCAGAAGUGCGAAUGCUGACAUAAGUAACGAUAAAGCGGGUGAAAAGCCCGCUCGCCGGAAGACCAAGGGUUCCUGUCCAACGUUAAUCGGGGCAGGGUGAGUCGACCCCUAAGGCGAGGCCGAAAGGCGUAGUCGAUGGGAAACGGGUUAAUAUUCCCGUACUUGGUGUUACUGCGAAGGGGGGACGGAGAAGGCUAUGUUGGCCGGGCGACGGUUGUCCCGGUUUAAGCGUGUAGGUGUGUGUUCCAGGUAAAUCCGGUUCACUUUAACACUGAGGCGUGAUGACGAGGCACUACGGUGCUGAAGCAACAAAUGCCCUGCUUCCAGGAAAAGCCUCUAAGCAUCAGGUAACAUCAAAUCGUACCCCAAACCGACACAGGUGGUCAGGUAGAGAAUACCAAGGCGCUUGAGAGAACUCGGGUGAAGGAACUAGGCAAAAUGGUGCCGUAACUUCGGGAGAAGGCACGCUGACAUGUAGGUGAAGUGAUUUACUCAUGGAGCUGAAGUCAGUCGAAGAUACCAGCUGGCUGCAACUGUUUAUUAAAAACACAGCACUGUGCAAACACGAAAGUGGACGUAUACGGUGUGACGCCUGCCCGGUGCCGGAAGGUUAAUUGAUGGGGUCAGCGCAAGCGAAGCUCCUGAUCGAAGCCCCGGUAAACGGCGGCCGUAACUAUAACGGUCCUAAGGUAGCGAAAUUCCUUGUCGGGUAAGUUCCGACCUGCACGAAUGGCGUAAUGAUGGCCAGGCUGUCUCCACCCGAGACUCAGUGAAAUUGAACUCGCUGUGAAGAUGCAGUGUACCCGCGGCAAGACGGAAAGACCCCGUGAACCUUUACUAUAGCUUGACACUGAACAUUGAGCCUUGAUGUGUAGGAUAGGUGGGAGGCUUUGAAGUGUGGACGCCAGUCUGCAUGGAGCCGACCUUGAAAUACCACCCUUUAAUGUUUGAUGUUCUAACGUGGACCCGUGAUCCGGGUUGCGGACAGUGUCUGGUGGGUAGUUUGACUGGGGCGGUCUCCUCCUAAAGAGUAACGGAGGAGCACGAAGGUUGGCUAAUCCUGGUCGGACAUCAGGAGGUUAGUGCAAUGGCAUAAGCCAGCUUGACUGCGAGCGUGACGGCGCGAGCAGGUGCGAAAGCAGGUCAUAGUGAUCCGGUGGUUCUGAAUGGAAGGGCCAUCGCUCAACGGAUAAAAGGUACUCCGGGGAUAACAGGCUGAUACCGCCCAAGAGUUCAUAUCGACGGCGGUGUUUGGCACCUCGAUGUCGGCUCAUCACAUCCUGGGGCUGAAGUAGGUCCCAAGGGUAUGGCUGUUCGCCAUUUAAAGUGGUACGCGAGCUGGGUUUAGAACGUCGUGAGACAGUUCGGUCCCUAUCUGCCGUGGGCGCUGGAGAACUGAGGGGGGCUGCUCCUAGUACGAGAGGACCGGAGUGGACGCAUCACUGGUGUUCGGGUUGUCAUGCCAAUGGCACUGCCCGGUAGCUAAAUGCGGAAGAGAUAAGUGCUGAAAGCAUCUAAGCACGAAACUUGCCCCGAGAUGAGUUCUCCCUGAGACUUAGAGUCUCCUGAAGGAACGUUGAAGACGACGACGUUGAUAGGCCGGGUGUGUAAGCGCAGCGAUGCGUUGAGCUAACCGGUACUAAUGAACCGUGAGGCUUAACCUU